rnacentral:rRNA from 1 species
CCGCCAGCCGGGCGGACCUGCGGAUUAAUUCGAUGCAACGCGAAGAACCUUACCAAGGCUUGACAUGGACCGGACCGCCGCAGAAAUGUGGUUUCCCCUUUGGGGCUGGUUUACAGGUGGUGCAUGGUUGUCGUCAGCUCGUGUCGUGAGAUGUUGGGUUAAGUCCCGCAACGAGCGCAACCCUCGUUCUAUGUUGCCAGCACGUGAUGGUGGGGACUCAUAGGAGACUGCCGGGGUCAACUCGGAGGAAGGUGGGGACGACGUCAAAUCAUCAUGCCCCUUAUGUCUUGGGCUUCACGCAUGCUACAAUGGCCGGUACAAAGGGUUGCGAUACUGUGAGGUGGAGCUAAUCCCAAAAAGCCGGUCUCAGUUCGGAUUGGGGUCUGCAACUCGACCCCAUGAAGUCGGAGUCGCUAGUAAUCGCAGAUCAGCAACGCUGCGGUGAAUACGUUCCCGGGCCUUGUACCACCCGCCCGUAAA